GUCCGCACUGUAAACGAUGAUUACUCGCUGCUGGGAGGUAACUUUCAGUGGCUUAGCGAAAGCGAUAAGUAAUCCACCUGGGGAGUACGCCGGCAACGGUGAAACUCAAAGGAAUUGACGGGGGCCCGCACAAGCGGAGGAGCAUGUGGUUUAAUUCGAUGAUACGCGAGGAACCUUACCAGGGCUUGAAAGUUAGUGACCGACUCUGAAAGGAGUCUUUCCGCAAGGACACGAAACUAGGUGCUGCAUGGCUGUCGU
rnacentral:rRNA from 1 species